CCAAAAAGAAAGAAUGAAUAUCUAUGUACUGGAACAGGGAUGGAUUUCUUAAAUAUGAUACCAAACCACAAGCUGUUAGGCUGUGGUGGGCAAAUCACUUGAGGUCAGGAGUUUGAGACCAGCCUGGCCAACAUGGUGAAACCCCAUCCCUACUAAAAAUACAAAAUGUAGCUGGGCAUGGUGGCGCAUGCCUGUAAUCCCAGCUACUCGAGAGGCUGAGGUACGAGAAUUGCUUGAACCUGGGAGGCAGAGGUUGCAGUGA
rnacentral:lncRNA from 10 species